GAUGAACGCUGGCGGCGUGCCUAAUACAUGCAAGUCGAGCGAACAGAUGAGGAGCUUGCUCCUCUGACGUUAGCGGCGGACGGGUGAGUAACACGUGGAUAACCUACCUAUAAGACUGGGAUAACUUCGGGAAACCGGAGCUAAUACCGGAUAAUAUAUUGAACCGCAUGGUUCAAUAGUGAAAGACGGUUUUGCUGUCACUUAUAGAUGGAUCCGCGCCGCAUUAGCUAGUUGGUAAGGUAACGGCUUACCAAGGCAACGAUGCGUAGCCGACCUGAGAGUGAUCGCCGACACAAUGAGUCUGACACACUGUACAGACUCCUACGAGGCGCAGGUGUGGGGUAUGUCGCACUAUGGGCAAAAGCAUGGCAGCGCCGCGGCGCGUGAGUGAGGGAGGUCCUCAUAUCGUAAAUCUCUGUUAUUGGGGAAGAAAAAAUGUGUGAGUAUCUACACAUGUCGUGACUGCCUCAACAGAGAGAGCCACGUAUAACCACG
rnacentral:rRNA from 1 species